AAUCAACGCUGGCGGCGUGCCUAACACAUGCAAGUCGAGCGAGAAAGUGUAGCAAUACAUGAGUACAGCGGCGCACGGGUGAGUAACACGUGGGUAAUCUGCCCUAGAGUGGGGAAUAACACCGGGAAACCGGUGCUAAUACCGCAUACGAUCACGACGUUUGCGAAUGUUGUGAUGAAAGGAGCAAUUCGCUCUUGGAGGAGCCCGCGGCUGAUUAGCUAGUUGGUAAGGUAAUGGCUUACCAAGGCAACGAUCAGUAGCCGGUCUGAGAGGACGGUCGGCCACACUGGAACUGAGACACGGUCCAGACUCCUACGGGAGGCAGCAGUGGGGAAUUUUUCGCAAUGGGGGCAACCCUGACGAAGCAACGCCGCGUGGGUGAUGAAGUCUCUUGGGACGUAAAACCCUUUCGACGGGGAAGAAACCGCAAGGUUGACGGUACCCGUAGAAGAAGCCCCGGCUAACUCCGUGCCAGCCGCCGCC
rnacentral:rRNA from 1 species